AGCGCUCUUAGCGAGCAUAAAGCGACAUAAAUCAGCCUGAACCAGGCGAAGAGCCUCCUUCGCUCUCCUCCCGCUGCUGAAGGUGCAGAGCCGCCGUCUUGUGACGUCAGAGCGAGGACGCGAUGCGCGUGCGGCGCUGGAGCACAUGGAGCAGCGCGAGGACGAGAUUUAGCAGAGCGGCUAACGCUGAAUCCUCUUGGAUGAAGAAAUGACAUUUUAGCUGCCAGAAAAUGGACAAGUGGACGUUUUUGGAAACAGCUGGACGAAACGGGAGGUUUUAUUUGUCGUCAGAGCGACUAAUACGAGGAGGAAACCACGUCCAGACAUUUAGCUGAGCAUGUUUAUCUCCUCCUCCGAGCUCCUCCUGCCCUGCCACAGGAUAUGAAACCUUCAGUUAAGAAGGGGCGUGAAGACGAGAGGCCCUUGACAUGUUGACUGGAGCUCAAGAACUUGGUCUUCUGUAGUGAAAGUCUCUGUCACUAAGUGUUCCUGCUGCUGAUAUUCUAUGGCUAGAGCUGGAUCAGCUGUCCACUUUGCCAAAGUACGCAUUUUGGGCAUCAAUAUUGGAAGAAUAUCAUAGAGUCUGCACCCUUACCCAGAGGGGGUGUUGACAAGGAAUCCACAGCUCGCUGAUGUGCCCACAACAGGCUCUCCUCUAAGCGCCCAGACACAUCAGGCCUGCAGUAAAAGUGUCAGCUGAAUACAGAUCAUCUUCGGCCUGAUCUGUAAUUCUGAGUGAUAUAUAGCAGGCAAGUCUAGAUGGAGAGGCACACAGCAUCUGUGCACGAUUGUGAUGUCCCAGACUAGCAUGUCCCCUGAAACCUUACAGAACAUAUUUCCACUGAAUGUCAUCAUAAAUCAACAAGUGAUCUCUCCAGAAUGGUCAGCUGAUCAACAGGCAGCAAACUACGCACGCUACAUUCCAUCUGGCUGAGAGAGAAAGUUGGCCUGCCCUCAGCCCAGCUGAGUGAGAGAAUGCACUGAGGAGGCUUUCCCAACUGUUUUUUCCCUUUCCCUUGGAUACUUUGCCCAUUUGGAGUGGAAAGAUGGCUGUGAUCAGACAACUGAUGAAGCAAGAACAAAGACCCCCGGGUCACUGGGCGAACAGCAAUAAUCAAAGCUACACCACAUGUACCUUGAGCUCAUCGAAGCGCAGCGUGAAGUGCAGGAUCUCAGCGAACUGCCGUGCCAGAGCCUGCUCCUGCUCCAGGUGCUGCGUGGGGCUACAGCGAGCACUUGUUAGGAACCCCAGCAGGCCAUGCAGUGUGCCCUCUAUAAGAGAGACAGGAGAGAAGAGGGAAGGUUAACGGCAGUUCUGUUCAGUAAGUAAUGUAAUAGACAGAUACACAGACAGAGAAACAGAUGGAUCAAUCUAUGCUAUGAAUCAAUAAUAUUUAUAAGCACUGAAGGAUGAAGUGACCGAUCAGUCAAUAAUUUAAAUGGAGAGUAGACAAAAGGUGCUAAUAAAAAAUAAAGGGGAGGAUAAAGAACAGCAACUGAAUCCAAAUGAAUGUUGUCUUGACUAAGGUUGUCCUUAAAAUUUCUAUUUCAUUAGAAGACCAGCAGAUUGAUCUAUAAUGUGGUAUUACUCUCUUCACUCUGAUAAGCUAAACAAUAAGCAGCAAAAGGACAAAAUUCUCUGGCUGUCUCUUUAUUGUACCAGAACACAGGGGAGCCACAAGAACUCUUCUAUUCAGAUCGCAUCCACUUGCAUUUUUCACCAUCUAGUCUAAUUUCUGGCAGAAGAACAGAAAUCUCGGCACCCAGCAGGGAGAUGUGAAGUUAGCCUGGGUCUUUGAAGCCUCUGCCCUGCCUCUUCUCCAGAGAGCACUCUGAUUGGCUGGUGAUUAUGUGAGAUUAGAGGACGUGUCACAGUUAAUUGGGUCAUGGCCUACUUCUCUACAUGUAAGGCCCAUUUCACUCAUGAAUCAAUCCAGCCAACAGGCUGACAAUAACAAACACACCAGGAUCUGUAACGCCUCUCUGACCAAUAAGGGUUAAAUAAUCUGUUAAAGUCAUUGGAGCUAAUAAUAGAUCACAAUAUACAGAAAAGGGGUUAACAGAACCCCAUUUGUCUGAUCGAUUGAGGAAGACAGAAUAUAGGACAGAAAAUAACUAAUUAGAUUAUGACUGUAGCUUGCAGAACAAUUUCCCAGAAUAUGAGAAUUUCCACAUUUACGCUGCUACACACAAAGACCAAAAGUAACAUAUACAGGAUGUAUUAAAUGACAUCUUAGUUAUUCAAGGAAUUAUAAACCAAGCUCAACACUGCGGGGACAUGUACAAUGCCCUCAUCUUGGAUCAUCUGCACAGCUUUAUGCUUUUAUUUUCCUGCAAGGUGGCCUACUCUUCAAACAUCAUUCAUGAGUGUAAUGUGGAUCAUCUUGCAGAAAAAGUCGUUUAGACCUUUCAGUCAUUAUUGUGUGUUCAGACAUUAAGGCACUUUCAACUUGAUUUUUUUUUUCUUUUCAUGUAGCAAAAGCUAAUAUUCCUUUAAAUAAUUAAUUUUAAUGGAUAUGGCUAACAGCAUUCUGACACUUAAGCAAUAGUCUUACUGUCAUAGUAAACACAAUUUCUUUCAGAGUUAACACAAACCACUAAGGAGCUGGCUAACUGACAAUGUUUGAACUGGUUAUUGCUUUGGAUUUUUCCUGAAACCAUUGUUAUGCAUUAUAUUCCCAAAACCUCCUUUAUUGAGAAGCAAAGGAUAUACAUAUAUUUAUAAAUAUCUUUAUUAAAAUAGCUUUCUAGACUUAUGCUAUGGUUUUAUUAGUUUCUCAAACUUCUCUGUGAAACAAGCUUGGAACACUUUCAUUUAUAUUGAUUCAUUUCAUGGAAUUUGAACCACACUGUUUGUGUUACCACUUGUAAAUAAAAUUUUGCUGCAUACAAGCA